AUUGAACGCUGGCGGCAUGCCUUACACAUGCAAGUCGAACGGUAACAGGCCGCAAGGUGCUGACGAGUGGCGAACGGGUGAGUAAUGCAUCGGAACGUGCCCAGUCGUGGGGGAUAACUGCUCGAAAGAGCAGCUAAUACCGCAUACGACCUGAGGGUGAAAGCGGGGGACCGUAAGGCCUCGCGCGAUUGGAGCGGCCGAUGUCAGAUUAGCUAGUUGGUGGGGUAAAGGCUCACCAAGCCAACGAUCUGUAGCUGGUCUGAGAGGACGACCAGCCACACUGGAACUGAGACACGGUCCAGACUCCUACGGGAGGCAGCAGUGGGGAAUUUUGGACAAUGGACGCAAGUCUGAUCCAGCCAUUCCGCGUGCAGGAUGAAGGCCCUCGGGUUGUAAACUGCUUUUGUACGGAACGAAAAGGUCUCUCUUAAUACGGGGGACUCAUGACGGUACCGUAAGAAUAAGCACCGGCUAACUACGUGCCAGCCGCCGCCGUAAGAC
rnacentral:rRNA from 1 species